rnacentral:lncRNA from 1 species
ACGUGGCUCACAAAGCAAAGCUAAAAAAUCCUCCUAAUACAAAAUUACCAAUUUACCCUCGGUAUUCGGUGAUUCGUAAAAUCUUCGUUAUAACUCCAAAUUCAAUUCUGUUUGUCGUAUCAUCGAGUACUUUGAGAAUAUAUUAUAAUAAUAGCUUAUACGUGCCACAAGAUGACUGUUAACUAAAGUCAAUGAUCUCGCCUUAAGGGGCAUUUUCGUUGAUUCACUCAUUUAAAAUUAAUAAAAUCGUAAAAUCAGAGACUGGUUGUUACACAUAUAGCCAUGAUAAAUUAAUACUCUUUUUCAUUAUCUCCCAUAUCACCCUACAAAUGGACUCCUACACAACAAAAUUGUCACAACCCGUCCCGAGGAUUAAUUAUCGUGAUUGUGAAAGGACGGAUUUACCCUUGGGCAUUAGAGGUGUGUUGGCGUUUUGGAUUAAGAAAUUGGGUCAAUUGGUUCUAUUCCUAACUAAUUGGAUCCAAUUAGAAUUAAAAGAUUAGAGAAUUGUGAUUGGUGUGCAUGUUUGGACCACACACAUCCAUACCUUUUUCUCUUUCACUCCCCCGUGCUCUAUCUCUUCUCUUUCU